UUCAAUGACUAAGGAGUGAUUACUACAGCUGGCGCCCUCAGCAGGGACAUUUUGUUUUGGAACCCCUACGGGAAGAAGCAGCUGCCAACAUACUUACCAUCGUCUGGAACAGACCCUUAGGUGCACUUUCGUCUUACGAGACCCCUUAGUGAACAGCUUCUUGCCCUUGCUGAGGAUGGCCUUGGCAUUGCGAGGAGAGAGGGUCAGUGCCCCAUUUUUUCUUCUGAGGGCCGAUUGCAGGACUUUGCUCUUCUUGCAACAAACUUUCUCCUGGGAACUUUUGAUGCCGCUGUAAGUUGUUUCUGAUAUUUUCCAUUUUUUCUUCUUGGGCUUUCCCUCGGCCCUCAGCUCUCUACACAGUAUGGAUAGGCUAGUUUUUACAGACUUGAUCUUCCUGCUGUCACUCUUGCCCAUGGAAACCUGUCGCAAUGAACCGAGUGUGCUUGCAUUUCCUAGGCCGCCCUGGUCCCCGUUGAGCUGGACUCCAGGAACUCUCCUCUCGCUCAUGGUCAUGCCGCCUCUGCAGUUUGGCCAAUUCCCACUGUUUCUCUUUGUAGCAUCGCUGCAGUUCCGCUAGGUGCAUGUGCAUCUCCACUUCCUGUGGGUCCAAAUUCUCAAUUGCUGCUUUCAGAGAGCAAACAGGCUUGGCUUUAGGGGUCCAGAUGUAUUUCCGUUGGGGGACCUGCAUGCGAGGGCGCAGCCAUGCGGCGAAACCUCUUCCAGCUCAACAGGAGCAGUAAAAAGCUGCGGGCCAAAGAGGUAUAUACAAGUAUAUACAACUCUUUUUCUAAUGCCUGGGCUGCCCAAGAACAAGAGUCAGUAUGAUUUGAGCAGAGACCUGUUGAUCCCUACAUCCAAUUUUCCCUUCUCUCCUACUGUCUCUAUCUCAAGGCAACACACAGCACUUAUUUCCUAUCUUUUUCAUGCAGUGCUGCUUCUUCCAGCCCACUACACAACACAGGUGGAUCAAUAUCCAAGAUAUUGGAUUGAAUGUUGAACAAGUUAUGCAUAUCUAUCCCAUUUACUGUUUAUUUUCCCAUUCCAUGAAUAGCUAGGAUCUGUAUCAGAGCAAACCUAUCAUAAUAAUAGUUGAUCCAAAGAGAAGGUAGAGGUGGCACAAGAGGAGGAGGAGGAGGAGGAGGAGGAGGAAGCCUUUAAAAUUCUGUUUUUGCAGUACCAGUAAUUCUAAAAUUAAUAUAACAUUAUUUGUAUUUAAGACAGCAUACAAUAAUGUUAGGAUUCAUUUUAUUAUUGGGAAGCAUUAGAACCAUUUUUUUUAAUAAAUGGGGUUUCUUGAUGACUAUUUAUUACAGAGGAAGCUGUCUCAACUUAUUCCAGUUUCCUCCUAGUAUUACUGUCUUGAUAAAUCUGAUAUGACUGUUCUUUCUAAAGUAAUGGAAUUUUUACUUUUACCCACAGGAUGAACUUUAGAAAGUGUUUAAUCAGAGAUUUUAUGCUCCAGAGGACCUUCAGAACUCAACUAAUUUGAAAAGCCGAUAUUCUGAAGCCAAAAUAGCAACUUAGUUAUUAAAGGCAAUUAUCUGUACAGGAAAGAGGGGAAAAGUCUUCAAAUCUUUUCUUUUCAAAUCUCAAGUGCUUACUGCAUGACUCUGCAUGAAUCAGAGGGAUUUAUUUGAUUCCCCUCACUGAUCUCCACCUGGAAAUUUUAUAAUAAAUAAUAAAUGUAUUAUUUCUCUA